rfam:Octopus bimaculoides Scaffold36724_contig_96, whole genome shotgun sequence.
CAAACGGCCCUUUUCAGGGCCCCUACAUUAUAUACGUAGUCUUUU